ACCUCUGGUUGCUUAAAUGGUUAGAGCGUCCGCCUCGGAUGAGUAAGGUCCCGGGUUCGAAUACUGGCUGAGUCA